rnacentral:lncRNA from 1 species
UAGAGCACUUGCUGCCCAGCCCUGGCUACACAUAUAUCUGGGUUUGUUUUUAAAAUGGUGUUGCCUGGGCCUAAUCCCAGAGCAAUGGAAUAAGUAUCUCUGAGUCAUUCUAAUAUCCAACUGCGGGUGAGGACCACUGGUGAAGUGAACAAGAACGGACUGACAGGGCAUGAUUCCAGAUCACGAUUUCAGAACGCAUCCUGGCCAGCAGGGAGCUGCCCGAGUUAUCCUCAGGAACACCUUGGCCUCCUGAGAAUCUGCCCAACCAAAAUUCCUGGGAGCAGGGCCAGACUCACUCAGGCGAUUUCUGGUCUUGCCGGGGAAUCAGUUUUGAGCCAGAACCUAUUCCAAGUUGGGAGGUUUCUCAUCAUCCACCAUCCCCCAAAUGAUGUCUGAGCACCCUGGCCUGUCUUCAGCAAGAAUGUCAUUAAGUAGCUUCAGCCAGGACUCCCCCUUACCCUUGAGGAUUCUCUUAGCAAUUUUCCAUCCACUGAUGCCAUGCUGCUCCUUGGAUGUCAAUUCCCAUUUGCGUAUGCUGUAUUUGAAGUAGAGCCCAGUCUCUCUCUCCCACUGCAAAAUGUCACUGUAGAGAUCUCUACACCUAUGCUAAUCAUCUAAAUAAAG